rnacentral:lncRNA from 1 species
GAAUUAGUCAUAAAGAUGGUAUCUUGAUGAGAAGUUUGACUUAGAUAUUUGUUUGCGUUGAUGGUGUCUAGAUGAUACGCUAGAAAAUAGGUGCACAAAGAUGAGUUAUAAGUUUAGUUAUGUUUAAAAUGAUUUGGAAAGCUUGAUGCUUAAGCUUGAGAUUGUUUGAAUGGCUACUUGGUGCUUGAUUAGAUGAUAGUGAAAGUUUCAUUGAAGGCUUAAUGGGUUGGUAUGUAUGUGGUCUUUUGUUUGGUU